rnacentral:tRNA from 1 species
AAUUUUGCAAUGAAAAUGUACUGUUUUUUUUAAACUAUAUUAAUAGAAAUUUAAAAAUUUUUUUUGCUUAU